CUACAAGGAAGGAGCGUCUAGGACAUGAAGAAGGGAGGCUACCCAUGGAGCGUCUAGAUGUGGAACUAGACCGUCUAGGUCCUCUCACAAGGUCAAUGGCUAAGCAUGUUCAAACCCAAGUGAAUGAAGCCACGGAUGGAAGAGAGAAAGCUUUGUACAUGUUGCAUAAAGGCCCAAUAGGGGUACUUAGUAAUUAGAGUAGUGUAGAAAGCAUAUUUGAGUGAAACUUUCUAGAAGCUUUCUAUGUGUGACCGGUCAUGGCACAUGGCUUAUGAUUUGCAUUUCAUUUGGUUUCCAUUUCAUUAGCUAUUAGCUUAGCUU
rnacentral:lncRNA from 1 species